AUGCCGACGCCGGGCGCACGAGCCCUCAUCCUCCUCCUCCCGCUCCUCGUCCUCCUCCUGCUCUCCGCCAGCGCCGCCAAUGCCGCGACGGAGGCCGAGGCGCUGCUGGCCUGGAAGGCCAGCCUCGACCGCCCGCUCCCGGACGCGCUCGCCACCUGGGCCAACCCCGCGGGCCUCUGCUCCUCCUGGGAGGGCGUCUCCUGCGACGCCGCCGGCCGCGUCGACUCGCUCGCGCUCCGGGGGCUCGGCCUAGGCGGCACGCUCGACAAGCUCGACGUCGCGGCGCUCCCGGCCCUCGCCACGCUCGACCUCAACGGGAACAACUUCUUCGGCGCCAUCCCGGCGAGCCUCUCGCGCCUGCGCUUCCUCGCCACGCUCGACCUCGGCAGCAACGGCUUCAACGGCUCCAUCCCGCCGCAGCUCGCCGACCUCUCCGGCCUGGUCGAGCUGCGUCUCUACAACAACAACCUCGCCGACGCCAUUCCCCACCAGCUCAGCAGGCUCCCCAGGAUCCAGCAUUUCGAUCUGGGUGCCAACUUCCUCACCGACCCGGACUACCGCAAGUUAUCGCCGAUGCCCACCGUCAGGUUCAUGUCGCUCUACCUCAACUACCUCAACGGCGGCUUCCCGGAGUUCAUCCUCAAGAGCGCCAACGUCACCUACCUCGACCUGUCGCAGAACAAUUUCUCCGGGUCGAUACCGGAGUCGCUGGCGGAGAAGCUCCCCAACCUCAUGUACCUCAACCUGUCCAUCAAUGCUUUCUCUGGGCGGAUACCGCCGUCGCUGUCGAAGCUGAGGAAUCUCCGGGACCUGCGGGUUUUAAACAAUAAUCUGACCGGAGGAGUCCCCGAUUUCCUCGGGUCCAUGUCCCAGCUCAGAGUCCUUGAACUCGGCGGCAACCUGCUCGGCGGGCCGAUCCCGCCGGUACUUGGCCGGCUCCAAAUGCUGCAACGCCUUGAUCUCAAGAGCUCCGGGUUGAAUUCCACUAUUCCACCAGAGCUGGGCAACCUUGGCAAUCUCAAUUUGAUGGAGCUGUCCAUGAACCAGCUCACCGGUUUCCUGCCGCCGGCGUUCGCCGGGAUGCGCAAAAUGCGCGAGUUUGGCAUAUCGUCCAACAAACUCACCGGUCAGAUUCCGCCGUCUUUGUUCAGGAGCUGGCCAGAGCUCAUAUCGUUCCAAGUGCAAAUGAACUCAUUCACCGGGAAGAUUCCACCAGAGCUCGGCAAGGCAACCAAGCUGGAUAUCUUGUAUCUCUUCAGCAACAACCUUACAGGCUCUAUCCCAGCAGAGCUAGGCGAGCUGGUGAGCCUGACUCAGUUGGAUUUGUCGGUGAACUCUCUCACGGGGCCGAUCCCCAGCUCGUUCGGUAAGCUCACGAAGCUCAAGAGGCUGGCGCUCUUCUUCAACAAGCUUACCGGCACAAUCCCGCCGGAGAUUGGCAACAUGACGGCGUUGGAAGUCUUGGAUGUCAACACCAACAGUUUGGAAGGCGAGCUGCCCGCCACCAUUACAGCGCUCAGAAAUCUUCAAUACCUUGCCCUGUUCGACAACAACUUCAGUGGUACCGUACCGCCGGACCUCGGGAAGGGGCUGAGCUUGACCGACGCAAGCUUUGCGAACAACAGCUUCUCCGGCGAACUGCCGCAGAGACUAUGUGAUGGCCUCGUGCUGCAGAACUUCACGGCGAACCACAACAACUUCAGCGGCACGCUACCACCGUGCCUCAAGAACUGCACAAAUCUGUUCCGGGUGCGGUUGGAAGGGAACCACUUCACCGGCGACAUCUCAGAGGCGUUCGGCGUCCACCCCAGGUUGGACUACCUGGACGUCUCUGGGAGCGAACUGACCGGUCGUCUAUCUCCCGAUUGGGGAAAAUGCACCAAUAUCACCCGCCUACACAUGGACGGCAAUGGUUUAUCAGGUGGCAUUCCAGCGGCGUUUGGGAGCAUGGCAAGCUUACAGGACCUCAGCUUGGCUGAGAAUAAUCUCACAGGAAGUGUUCCACCUGAGCUGGGCCAGCUCAGCCUCUUAUUCAGUCUCAAUCUUAGCCAUAAUGCCCUUUCGGGGUCAAUUCCGGCAAAUUUGGGCAGCAAUUCCAAGUUACAGGCAGUCGAUUUGUCUGGGAACUCGCUUACGGGGACGAUACCGGCUGGCCUUAGCAAGCUCAGUUAUCUAAUUUUUCUUGAUAUGAGCAAGAACAAGUUGUCAGGGCAGAUACCAGAUGAUCUUGGCAAUCUUGUUCAGCUGCAGAGGCUUCUUGAUCUGAGCAGUAACUCAUUGUCAGGUGCGAUCCCCUCGAAUCUUCAGAAGCUGACGAAUUUGCAGAAACUGAACCUGUCACACAACGAUCUCAGUGGUUCAAUACCAGCAGGGUUUUCUCGCAUGUCAAGCCUUGAUACAGUUGAUUUCUCUUACAAUCGACUCACCGGUAAGAUACCAUCAGGGAAUGCUUUCCAGAACACAUCAGCUGAUGCCUACAUUGGGAAUUUGGGGCUCUGUGGUAAUGUGCAAGGUAUAACUUCUUGUGACCUCGGUUCUGGCGGUGCAUCUUCAGGGCAUCGCAAGAGAAUAGUCAUUGCAACAGUUGUGUCAGUUGUUGGGGUUGUGUUACUUGCAGCCCUUGCUGCUUGCCUCAUACUGAUAUGCAGAAGGAGGCCUCGUGAGAAGAAAGUGCUGGAGGCUAACACCAAUGAUACUUUUGAGUCCAUGAUCUGGGAAAAGGAGGGAAAGUUCACAUUCUUUGAUAUCGUGAAUGCCACAGACAACUUCAACGAAACCUUCUGCAUUGGUAAAGGAGGGUUCGGGGCCGUGUACAGGGCCGAGCUUGCAAGUGGGCAGGUUGUGGCCGUGAAGCGAUUCCAUGUCGCCGAGACAGGCGACAUAUCAGAGAUUAGCAAAAAGAGCUUUGAGAAUGAGAUAAAGGCGCUGACUGAGGUCCGCCACCGGAAUAUCGUCAAGCUCCAUGGCUUCUGCACUAGCGGUGACUACAUGUAUCUGGUGUACGAGUACCUGGAAAGGGGCAGCUUGGCGAAGACAUUGUACGGGGAGGAAGGGAAGAAGAAGCUGGACUGGGACGUGAGGAUGAAGGUGAUACAGGGGGUUGCUCAUGCCCUGGCCUACCUGCAUCAUGACUGCAACCCGCCCAUCGUUCAUCGCGACAUCACUUUGAAUAAUAUCCUGCUUGAAUCUGACUUUGAGCCACGGUUGUGUGAUUUUGGCACCGCAAAGUUGCUUGGGUCUGCUUCGACGAACUGGACUUCUGUGGCAGGAUCGUAUGGCUACAUGGCUCCAGAAUUUGCAUACACAAUGAGGGUGACAGAGAAGUGUGAUGUUUACAGCUUCGGCGUUGUUGCACUGGAGAUCCUGAUGGGGAAGCACCCAGGUGACCUGCUAACCUCUCUGCCGGCGAUAUCCUCAUCACAAGAAGACGAUUUACUCCUCAAGGACAUACUGGACCAGCGGUUGGACCCUCCAACGGAACAGCUUGCAGAAGAGGUUGUGUUCAUCGUCAGGAUAGCGCUUGCCUGCACCAGGGCAAAACCUGAAUCCAGGCCUGCAAUGCGAUCCGUAGCACAAGAGAUAGCAGCACAUACCCAGGCCUACCUCUCCGAAGCAUUCCGACUUAUCACAAUAAGCAAGCUAACAGACUACCAGAAGUGA
rnacentral:rRNA from 1 species